rnacentral:rRNA from 1 species
AUUGAACGCUGGCGGCAGGCCUAACACAUGCAAGUCGAACGGUAACACGAAGAGGCCUGCUUCUUUGCUGACGCGUGGCGGACGGGUGUGUAAUGUCCGGCAAACUGUCCGUUGUAGGGGGAUAACUCCUGGAAACGGUAGCUCUAAUCCCAUAUCCUCCCUACAGCUAAAAGGGGGACCUCUGGGCCCCUUGCCCUCGGAUGUGCCCAGAUGGGAUUAGCUAGUAGGUGGGGUAACGGCUCACCCAGGCGACGAUCCCUAGCUGGUCUGAGAGGAUGACCAGCCACACUGGAACUGAGACACGGUCCAGACUCCUACGGGAGGCAGCAGUGGGGAAUAUUGGACAAAGGGCGCAAGCCUGAUGCAGCCAUGCCGCGUGUAUGAAGAAGGCCUUCGGGUUGUAAAGUACUUUCAGCGGGGAGGAAGGGAGUAAGGUUAAUACCUUUGCUCAUUGACGGUACCCGCAGAAGAAGCACCGGCUAACUCCGUG